rnacentral:rRNA from 1 species
UGGCUCAGAACGAACGCUGGCGGCGCGUUUAAGCAUGCAAGUCGAGCGGCAAGGGCCUUCGGGCCCUAGAGCGGCGGACGGGUGAGUAACACGUGGACAAUCUGCCCCCCGGCCCGGGAUAGCCCAGGGAAACCUGGAUUAAUACCGGAUGAGACGGGACCCGCGAUGGCGGGAUCCGGGAAAGGCGCUGCGGCGCCGCCGGGGGAUGAGUCUGCGUCCCAUUAGCUAGACGGCGGGGUAACGGCCCACCGUGGCGACGAUGGGUAGCCGGCCUGAGAGGGUGGACGGCCACAUUGGAACUGAGACACGGUCCAGACUCCUACGGGAGGCAGCAGCUAAGAAUCUUCCGCAAUGGGCGAAAGCCUGACGGAAGCGACGCCGCGUGAACGAAGAAGGCCGUGAGGUUGUAAAGUUCUUUUCGGGAGGGGAACAACCGUGGCAGGGAAUGGCCGCGGGAUGACGUGAAUCCCGGAAUAAGCCCCGGCUAACUACGUGCCAGCCGCGGC